rnacentral:rRNA from 1 species
UACGUAGGGACCAAGCGUUGUUCGGAUUUACUGGGCGUAAAGGGCGCGUAGGCGGCGUGUUAAGUCAGCUGUGAAAUCUCCAAGCUUAACUUGGAACGGUCAGCUGAUACUGAUGUGCUAGAGUGCAGAAGGGGCAAUCGGAAUUCUUGGUGUAGCGGUGAAAUGCGUAGAUAUCAAGAGGAAUACCUGAGGUGAAGACGGCAUCCUGGACCGACAUUGACGCUGAACGGCGAAAGCUAGGGGAGCAAACGGG